UGAGUAAGAGCCGGGUGGGGCUUUUGAUUGUUAAUCAAAGAGGGCACGUGUUGUAAUAGUGCUUACUCAG
rnacentral:tRNA from 1 species